AGAAAGUAACCUAAUACUCGCUCACCUCCUACCACCUAGUGACAUCACGGGCUCCUCCAUUCCCUAGUCACUCCCUCACUCAACCCCACCUCAGCCCCUACAAACCCCACCCCAGUCUCUAUAAAAGACUCUCCCUGCUCCGGCCAUAUUGCUUUUUCUCUCCUUUGUUCAGAGACAGCCAGGCAGAUCUAUUCCCCUAAUAAAGGCUUGCUGGGGCCUGGUCUGGUCUUGGUCUUCAGCACUUUUACCUGACAUUUCUGGUGCCGUGACUCGGAUGGUAGAUGGUCCAUUAAUGGACGGUCCCCCCCAGGAUGGGGUUGAUUGACCUUUUGGCCAUCUCCAACGGACCUGUCUGCCGUUGCCAGGACCCUCGGGGGCUUUCUUCCUUUGCCAUUGCUGGCGCUACACAUCCACACCGGUCACCAAUGUCUGGGUGAGUUGGGAGUUCAGCCUACCUCUCCUCGGGUUCUCUGUCUCGUGUUCUCUCUCCCCCUCCGGGGACUUCUCAGAAAUCCAAGCGCUUGGUCAGAGAAACCCCCACGGCCUCUGGGCCCAGGACCGUGCCCCUGGGAGACGUCCCAUCGGCCCGCCUCCUCUCGUUCUCUCCCUUUGGGAGACUCACUCGGAGUUUGUCAAAGGAGACAAGGAUGCUUCUCCCCUUUGUCUUUCUCCCCAGGGGCUGCCUCCUCCUCACCCGCUCUAAUCAGGGGGCCCAACAAUCCAAACCCCGCCCCUCAACGCCUCUGGGCUGCCUUCUGGCACAACUCAAACCCCUCGGAUUGUUGGGACCAGACUUUAAGCCAAAAAGACUUGUUUUCUAUUGUAAUCAGGUUUGGCCUCAGUAUAAAUUAGAGAAUGGGUUUCCAGGGCCCAAAAAUGGGACUUUCAAUUUUAACUUACUGUGUGAUUUACACAACUUCUGUCAACGCAAUGGCAAAUGGUCAGAAAUCCCCUACACACAAACCUUUUCUACCUAUGCUCUUAACCCUCCCUCUGUCAAACCUGUUCUCCUUCUCAAGUACUCCUAGCCUCACCUCUCAUACCUCCCCCACUUUAUAACUCUGUUGAUAGGAAAAAGUUUUAAAGCUUAAUAGAUUAGCUAUUGAAGUAGUUGUGGAAGCAAACCAGGUAGUGUAUCCCUUCUAAAAACUUGCCUUAGCCCAUUGCUUCUGCUGUUUAAAGUAAAGGUUAUAUAGCUUCUUUGAUUUGUAGCUCCACUAUAGAUAACAUCCCAACUAAAGAACGAAAUGGGAAUCCUUGAACAAACUUGUGAGACGUGUGCCUUAACUGUCAUGUGUUUAGGGCUGUCAUCGGGGCAGAAACCACCUGUGUCUAACCAUUAAACAGGAAUUGGAACUUUAUUUACUUAACAAAGACCCCUAGGGAUGAGAUAAUGAUGGACAAAAGUAUAAAAUGCUUAUAGUGAGUUGGAGACCAAAUAUUUAAAAAGCUGUAAGUAAAAGACAUAUUUUUGAUAUAAAAGGAUUUUAUAUGUUUGUCUUGUCAGCAGGACAAGACCAAAAGGCCUAGGUACAUAAAGAAGGUAUGUGGAAGUGAUUUAUGAAGGAAACAUAUAUGUUUACUUGUUGGUUUCAAGUUUGUUAUAAAAGGUUUACAGGAAUAGAGGUUUCCUUCCUUCUGAUUUUAAUUCUACAAGACAUCUCUGUUAAUUGACUUACAAAAAGUUUUAAAUAGUCUUAUUUAUAAUUAUAAACCUAAAAUUAUAAAGAGAUUAUAAUUCCUUUGGGCUAAAUAUAUUUGAGUGCACCCUAGUUUUAGAAAUUGUCUUGUAUCUUUGUUUUUUGUCCAAUCGUACAGCUGUUUUGUUUAUAGAUAAAGGUUAUUAAGUUCAAGGCAUGCUCCCCUUGGUGAACAAAGGAGCGGCCGCAUGGAAAUAUUUUCCAGUCUUUGCUCACUAGGGGGACCUCAACAGUUUUCAUCUUACAACAGACUGACCCGAUGGUUUUCAUAGCCUUAUAAAAGACUUAUAUCAAUAAAUAUUACUUAAAUAUAUUAUUAUACUGUUUAAAGUAAUUGUCAUCAAAGGGAUAAAUUCUAAAUAUGUUGUUAUGGUAUGCUUACAGUGGUCAUUUUCAAAAGACUAAAUAUCCUGUAAAAAACAACAAUAACAAGGUUUUAUUUUUUUCUAGUGUACUAAAUGCAUUUGUACUUUCUGACUGUACAGGUUUUCUAAUAUUUGUUUAUGAUAAUAACCUCCUUUUGAUUCAGGUAUUUGCCUUUUCAUACACUCCAGCUAUUUAUAACAACAGAUACACACAUGGGCUGAGAUAUUUUCUUUAGAUGGUAUCCUAUCAAAAGAUAAUUUAUUUAUUUAUUUUUUUAAAAAAGAUAAUAAUUUAGAUAAAAACUUUUGGUGUUUUUAAAAAAUGAGUACGUUUAACAAUGGCUAUUUUAUAUCAAAAUGGACAUUUAAAUGUGUUACAAAGGUAAAGUCAUCAUAAUUGUCAUGUUAAAAUAUUAUUUGUGGCUCUUUUUCUGUUAAUAUUCUACAGGAAUUCAACUACUAAAAAACAACCAUGACUGAUAACAGUAACAGUUCUCUAUAUUUUAAAUUCCAAAAUGCUUGUCAUUCAGGUAAAACUAUAAUAGUUAUGUUCAUUAUUCUUGUUGCAAUGCUAAUGCUAUUGACCUUCUCUUCUGGGUGUUCAACAACUAAAGUUUGGAGACCAGAACAAAAAGGUAACUGGGCUAUGAGGACAGCCAAUAUUUUGGCCCCGGCCCCUCAAGGUCAACAAAGUUCCAGGACAUGAGGGAACCUUCUCUACAGGGUCCUACAUCUUUGGUAAGUCACUCAACCUCCUAAACUGGGAGAUUGCCGGACACCAGAGGACAAUGUACUGUGUGCCAAAGGAGGGUCACCAAGAAAAAUAUCUCCAAUGCUUUCACUGAAAGCAACUUGGUCAAGCAAGGCCAUGACCCAUCCUGAUGGCUGACACUGACAGAGAAGCAGAGAGGCACUAUGCAUGGUUCCAAAGUAAUGGCCUGGGGAGACUUAACUGACCUUAAUAACAAGAGGUUCAUAUUGAGUGACAUAUGUCUCACUUUAACUUGGUCUUAAACACCCAGCAGAAAAAAAUAACCAAAAGAGGUAUAAAACAAUGACAUAAUAAUAAAGCUAGGCUUCAGAAAAAUUAAGACACAGCCCACCCAUUAAAAUCUUUUGGUUCACUCAUGACACAGCCAUUUCAAAAAGAUAAAUCUUUGGGUACUAAAUAGAAGGGAAAAUCAUUAAUUAGCUACAAGUGUGUACAGAUUCUUUUCAGAAAAAUUAAAAGAAGUUCUUUACAGGUGUCCAAUCCUAGAAACCACUGGUCUCCAGAUCUCUCCUUUUAGAAAAGUGUUUUUCUUAUUCUGAGAUAACUAAUUAACUAUCAUGUAGUGAUCAAAAACAAAAAAAACAAAAAACCAUAAAGUAAGAGUAUUGGGAAAAAAUCACCUGCUUGUCAGCCACAGUCAGGGUAAGUUCUACACCAAGCAGCUACAAGAUUUAUUCCUUUUAAAAUAAUGCACAUCCUUGUUCUCUGUUUAUGAUGCCUCUUCUCGUUGUGCUCAUAUUUCCUGGAUACCUACGCGUGUCUAAAAAGAUCAAGCCUUUUAUGUUACACUUGAUCCCUCAAGUUGGCCAGGGUCCUUGUGGAGGUUAUCAGUUCUCUUUAUUUUUAAAUAUAUCUAGGAGGCUUCCAAACACUGAGAGAUACAGGAAUAAAACUGUCCUGGCCUUGAAUUUAAAGAAGAAGUCAGGUUCAUAGUAACACUACACUCAUCAAUAUGUUGGCCUCCAAAAGACAUUUGCUCAGUUACAUACACCUUUUAUAUUAAAAAAAAAGGAUUAUAAAGAUUAUAUAAAUUGUGUUUAUCACUUUUCCACUCAUUCUCUAAGAGCAAGGACAUGACACAGGGACCCUUAGAUCAGGAGCUAUGAUCUCUUAUUUCCAUAACAGUCUGUUACUUCUAUAACAAAUGAGCCCUUAAACAUCCAGCUGUCUCUGUAAAACCUAUGUAAAUAAUGAAUAAAAAAAUUACAUGUCAAAUGAAAAAAAUUAAAACUCAGUGGGCCAGAUAGAUAUGCCCCCCAAGGUACUAAUCAAUGGUGGGGUACGUCUGGUUCCUGGAACUCAUGGCUCGCCUGGCUAUUCCUACUCUUGGGACCCCUCAGUAUUAUCUUUUUAAUUUUUUUCAUUCGACAUGUAAUUUUUUAUUCAUUAUUUACAUAGGUUUUACAGAGACAGCUGGAUGUUUAGGGGCUCAUUUGUUAUAGAAGUAAGAGACUGUUAUGGAAGAGAUCAUAGCUCCUGAUCUAAGGGCCCAUGUGUCAUGCCCUUGCUCUUAGAGAAUGAGUGGAAAAGUGAUAAACACAAUUUAUAUAAUCUUUAUAAUCCUUUUUUUUUUUUUUUGGAAUAUAAAAGGUGUAUGUAACUGAGCA
rnacentral:lncRNA from 1 species